UACGUAGGGUGCGAGCGUUGUCCGGAGUUACUGGGCGUAAAGCGCACGCAGGCGGUCUGUUAAGGUUUGGAGUGACCAGUUGGUGGCUCAACCACCAAAGUGCUUUGAAAACUGGCAGACUUGAGGGGCUUCAGAGGGACACGGAAUUCCGGGUGGAGUGGAUGAAAUGCGUAGAGAUCCGGAGGAACACCGAAGGCGAAGGCAGUGUCCUGGGGAGUACCUGACGCUCAGGUGCGGAAAAGCCAGGGGAGCGAACGGG
rnacentral:rRNA from 1 species